rnacentral:rRNA from 1 species
GUAGGGAGCAAGCGUUGUUCGGAAUGACUGGGCGUAAAGGGUGCGUAGGCGGUUAUACAAGUUAGAAUUGAAAUACCCCUGGCUUAACUCGGGUGCUGCUUCUAAAACUGUAAGACUUGAGUACAGUAGAGGUUAGUGGAAUUCCUAGUGUAGCGGUGGAAUGCGUAGAUAUUAGGAGGAACACCAGAGGCGAAGGCGGCUAACUGGACUGAAACUGACGCUGAGGCACGAAAGUGUGGGGAGCAAA